rnacentral:lncRNA from 1 species
GUCGACGCCGGGGAAGCAGCCGCCAUUGUCCGCGGCUGAGGUGAGGCCUUUGCUCAGGCUGUGGGGCCGCCGUAGCUGCGGGGCUUGGGGGGUCAGGAGAGCCGGCUGGGAGAGGCGGCGUCAGGGUGGGUCCUGCGCCUGCCCUUUCCGCGCCGGCUUUGCGCCGUCGUUGCCGUCGGUUCUCCAGCCAGCAGCCUGCCUCCGGCCUCCCGCCUCCGGGCGUUCUUCGUUUUCUGGUCGGACGGGCCUGGGUGAACUCUGCUGCACGUCGGCUCCGCGGGCCUUUGUCCCCGAGGCCGCGCCGGGAGCUCCCAAGCGCACUCCUGGGCCGGACCUCGGCGCGGGACAAAAGCCAAACGCCCCAGGCGGGCAGACCCCGAUCCUGCUGCGCCGCCUUCAAGGGGGACCGCCGGCCGCGAGCCAGGUUGGGAUUUGCUGUGUUCCUGGGCAGGUGCCUGGUCAAUCAGUCCUCGGGAUGGCAGCCAUCAACCCGUGGGCCUCCUGGGGUGCCCUUACGGACCAAUCUUGGGGGAUGACAGCUGUUGACCCAUGGGCCUCCUGGGCUCUGUGUCCUCAGUAUCCUGCCUGGCACGUGGAGGGAAGCCUGGAGGAGGGGAGGAGGGCCACUGGGCUCCCAGCAGCCCAGGUUCAGGUGAGAUGGGGCUGUCCUGUUCCCAGAGGAUGAUGUCCAGGUUAUCCCUGGUCAUCCCAGUUGAUGCGGCUCUCCAGUUUACAACAGUUGGAGUUUGGGUAGGGAAGGAAGCAACUGGAAGUUAAUCCUUCCUGAGAGCAGGUAGGGAGAAUUAGGCCGUUUUUAGUGAUUCGGAGCCUUAGUGUCAACCAGUCUGUCCACAGUACUGAGCUCCAACUCUCCCUGGCUUGUUGUGGGGCAUGAAGGGCAGCCCUUUUGGCUGGCAGCCCCACUUCUCUAUUGCCACCUUCACUCAUGUCUUUAGCACCCGAUUUAGGCUGAUGCUGUGCAGUGCCUGCUGUGCCUGCUGUGAAGGGAACAAGGACAGGUGUGAGCCUUCACCCUGAGGAGCUCCCAGACCCUUUUCCAGGGUUAUUCACUCAGCUAAGGAGAUCUCACGGCCUACCUGGAGCCACACGUGCAGUGUGGGACAGGAGAAACCUGAGACGGGUAGGGUAGGCCUGCAGGAGCACAGUCACCUGAUGAGUCGGGAGAUGGGACAGAG